GGGCUUGUAGCUCAGUGGUAGUAGCGCUCGCUUUGCAUUGUUUGCAUUAAACUGCAUAAAUUGCCUGCGAGAGGUCAGGGGUUCAAUCCCCCUCGAGUCCA